rnacentral:rRNA from 1 species
UACGGGGGGGGCAAGCGUUGUUCGGAAUUACUGGGCGUAAAGGGCUCGUAGGUGGCCCCAUAAGUCAGACGUGAAAUCCCUCGGCUUAACCGGGGAACUGCGUCUGAGACUGCGGGGCUUGAAUCCGGGAGAGGGAUGCGGAAUUCCAGGUGUAGCGGUGAAAUGCGUAGAUAUCUGGAGGAACACCGGUGGCGAAGGCGGCAUCCUGGACCGGUAUUGACACUGAGGAGCGAAAGCCAGGGGAGCAAACGGG